AUACGGAGGGUGCAAGCGUUACUCGGAAUCACUGGGCGUAAAGCGCGCGCAGGCGGCUAUUUAAGUUGGAUGUGAAAGCCUACGGCUCAACCGUAGAACUGCAUCCAAAACUAUUUAGCUAGAGUGUGGGAGAGGAAGAUGGAAUUAGUUGUGUAGGGGUAAAAUCCGUAGAGAUAACUAGGAAUACCAAAAGCGAAGGUAAUCUUCUGGAACACUACUGACGUUGAGGCGCGAAAGCGUGGGGAGCAAACAGGAUUAGAAACCCCAGUAGUCC
rnacentral:rRNA from 1 species